AGGGAAUAUUGGACAAUGGGGGCAACCCUGAUCCAGCCAUGCCGCGUGAGUGAAGAAGGCCCUCGGGUUGUAAAGCUCUUUUGUCCGGAAAGAAAAGCUUCGGGUUAAUACCCCGGGGUUCUGACGGUACCGGAAGAAUAAGCACCGGCUAACUUCGUGCCAGCAGCCGCGGUAAUACGAAGGGUGCAAGCGUUACUCGGAAUUACUGGGCGUAAAGCGUGCGGAGGUGGUUGUUUAAGUCUGAUGUGAAAGCCCUGGGCUCAACCGGGGAAUUGCAUUGGAAACUGGGCAGCUAGAGUGCGGUAGAGGGUAGUGGAAUUCCCGGUGUAGCAGUGAAAUGCGUAGAGAUCGGGAGGAACAUCUGUGGCGAAGGCGACUGCCUGGACCAGCACUGACACUGAGGCACGAAAGCGUGGGGAGCAAACA
rnacentral:rRNA from 1 species